AGAGUUUGAUCAUGGCUCAGAUUGAACGCUGGCGGCAGGCCUAACACAUGCAAGUCGAACGGUAACAGAAAGCAGCUUGCUGCUUUGCUGACGAGUGGCGGACGGGUGAGUAAUGUCUGGGAAACUGCCUGAUGGAGGGGGAUAACUACUGGAAACGGUAGCUAAUACCGCAUAACGUCGCAAGACCAAAGAGGGGGACCUUCGGGCCUCUUGCCAUCGGAUGUGCCCAGAUGGGAUUAGCUUGUUGGUGGGGUAACGGCUCACCAAGGCGACGAUCCCUAGCUGGUCUGAGAGGAUGACCAGCCACACUGGAACUGAGACACGGUCCAGACUCCUACGGGAGGCAGCAGUGGGGAAUAUUGCACAAUGGGCGCAAGCCUGAUGCAGCCAUGCCGCGUGUAUGAAGAAGGCCUUCGGGUUGUAAAGUACUUUCAGCGGGGAGGAAGGGAGUAAAGUUAAUACCUUUGCUCAUUGACGUUACCCGCAGAAGAAGCACCGGCUAACUCCGUGCCAGCAGCCGCGGUAAUACGGAGGGUGCAAGCGUUAAUCGGAAUUACUGGGCGUAAAGCGCACGCAGGCGGUUUGUUAAGUCAGAUGUGAAAUCCCCGGGCUCAACCUGGGAACUGCAUCUGAUACUGGCAAGCUUGAGUCUCGUAGAGGGGGGUAGAAUUCCAGGUGUAGCGGUGAAAUGCGUAGAGAUCUGGAGGAAUACCGGUGGCGAAGGCGGCCCCCUGGACGAAGACUGACGCUCAGGUGCGAAAGCGUGGGGAGCAAACAGGAUUAGAUACCCUGGUAGUCCACGCCGUAAACGAUGUCGACUUGGAGGUUGUGCCCUUGAGGCGUGGCUUCCGGAGCUAACGCGUUAAGUCGACCGCCUGGGGAGUACGGCCGCAAGGUUAAAACUCAAAUGAAUUGACGGGGGCCCGCACAAGCGGUGGAGCAUGUGGUUUAAUUCGAUGCAACGCGAAGAACCUUACCUGGUCUUGACAUCCACGGAAGUUUUCAGAGAUGAGAAUGUGCCUUCGGGAACCGUGAGACAGGUGCUGCAUGGCUGUCGUCAGCUCGUGUUGUGAAAUGUUGGGUUAAGUCCCGCAACGAGCGCAACCCUUAUCCUUUGUUGCCAGCGGUCCGGCCGGGAACUCAAAGGAGACUGCCAGUGAUAAACUGGAGGAAGGUGGGGAUGAUGUCAAGUCAUCAUGGCCCUUACGACCAGGGCUACACACGUGCUACAAUGGCGCAUACAAAGAGAAGCGACCUCGCGAGAGCAAGCGGACCUCAUAAAGUGCGUCGUAGUCCGGAUUGGAGUCUGCAACUCGACUCCAUGAAGUCGGAAUCGCUAGUAAUCGUGGAUCAGAAUGCCACGGUGAAUACGUUCCCGGGCCUUGUACACACCGCCCGUCACACCAUGGGAGUGGGUUGCAAAAGAAGUAGGUAGCUUAACCUUCGGGAGGGCGCUUACCACUUUGUGAUUCAUGACUGGGGUGAAGUCGUAACAAGGUAACCGUAGGGGAACCUGCGGUUG
rnacentral:rRNA from 1 species